rnacentral:piRNA from 1 species
UGGUAGGUGUCUCUUUGUGGCCAUAUGCAUU